rnacentral:lncRNA from 1 species
AUGGGAAAACCUGGGUCCUUGAUGGCAUCUUUGACUCCUCCCACAGCCUGUGCUCUGGAUUUCUGUGAAAUGGGGACAACCAGUGACUUCGUGAUCUAAGCCAAUGCGAGAUGGGGUUUCAGUUCCUGGCUGCUGAGAGCAUCCUAACUCACUACAUACCACAGCCCCAAGAAUACUCUCUCCUUCCUGCUCUCUGUUUUCUAAACCAUGAGCAGCAUUCAGCACAGGUGACUGCUCUGUUCAUUUUGACACAGCUUCUGCCAACGCUGUCCUUGCAUGACACCUGUCUCUACUGAUUCUCUUCUUAUUUCUACAAACACUCCUCCUCAGCCUCUUUCACCAAGCCUGUCUUCUCUGCUCAACCUCUAACCGCCAGGGCACAGACAGGCCUCUCCUGACUCCCUGUCCCUCUUCAUCUAUACUCUCAAGCAAUGAAAUCGCACCAUAAAUCUAGGCUUCGAAUAUGGUAUAUUUCCAAACUGCUGAAUGUAUAUCCUUAGCCCCACCCUCUCCUCUGAACUUCAACUGUCUUCCUCAUAUCACCGCUUCAAAGUUCAAUAGCAUCCUAAGUUCUAAUACGCAUGGCAGAAUUUUUGAUUGACUACCCCGCCUCCUCAAAGAAUCACAUGUCACACCCAGGACUGCCCGGCUUAAAGCUCCCAAUGGCUUUCCAUCACAUUAAAGUACAAUCCACAACUCGUUAGUUAUGAAAGAGUUUUGGGGCCUGACUUGGCCAUUCUCUCUCAGACUUCAACUCCAAAAAUUUAUCCGCUUAUUUGUUUGACUCCAGCCACACUGGCCAUCUUGCUGUUUCUCAAACAUGUCACAGUCAUUUCUCUACCCAGGAUCUCAGAUCCAGGCCCUCUCUGGAUCUGGAAUCUUCCUUCAGGUCUUCCCAAAGGUGGCUGUCUUGGGAUUUUUUGUUGUUUGUUUUUUGUUUCUUGAGACAGAGUCUUGUUCUGUUACCAGGCUGGAGUGCAGUGGUGCGAUCUCGGCUCACUGCAACCUCUGUCUCCCAGGUUCAAGCAAUUCUCCUGCCUCAGCCUCCCUACUAGCUAGGAUUACAAGCAUGUGCCACCAUGCCCAGCUAAUUUUGUUGUUGUUGUUGUAUUUUUAGUAGAGAGGUUUCACCAUGUUGGCUAGGCUGGUCCUGAACUCCUAAGUGAUCCACCUGCCUCGGUCUCCCUUGG